GUUAUAUGGUCAAGUGAAGAAGCGCAUACGGUGGAUGCCUUGGCAGUCAGAGGCGAUGAAAGACGUGGUAGCCUGCGAAAAGCUUCGGGGAGUCGGCAAACAGACUUUGAUCCGGAGAUCUCUGAAUGGGGAACCCACCUAGGAUAACCUAGGUAUCUUGUACUGAAUCCAUAGGUGCAAGAGGCGAACCAGGGGAACUGAAACAUCUAAGUACCCUGAGGAAAAGAAAUCAACCGAGAUUCCCUUAGUAGUGGCGAGCGAACGGGGAUUAGCCCUUAAGCUUCAUUGAUUUUAGCGGAACGCUCUGGAAAGUGCGGCCAUAGUGGGUGAUAGCCCCGUACGCGAAAGGAUCUUUGAAGUGAAAUCGAGUAGGACGGAGCACGAGAAACUUUGUCUGAACAUGGGGGACCAUCCUCCAAGGCUAAAUACUACUGACUGACCGAUAGUGAACCAGUACCGUGAGGGAAAAGGCGAAAAGAACCCCGGAGAGGGGAGUGAAAUAGAACCUGAAACCGUAUGCGUACAAGCAGUGGGAGCCUACUUGUUAGGUGACUGCGUACCUUUUGUAUAAUGGGUCAGCGACUUAUAUUCAGUGGCAAGCUUAACCGUAUAGGGUAGGCGUAGCGAAAGCGAGUCUUAAUAGGGCGUUUAGUCGCUGGGUAUAGACCCGAAACCGGGCGAUCUAUCCAUGAGCAGGUUGAAGGUUAGGUAACACUGACUGGAGGACCGAACCCACUCCCGUUGAAAAGGUAGGGGAUGACUUGUGGAUCGGAGUGAAAGGCUAAUCAAGCUCGGAGAUAGCUGGUUCUCCUCGAAAGCUAUUUAGGUAGCGCCUCAUGUAUCACUCUGGGGGGUAGAGCACUGUUUCGGCUAGGGGGUCAUCCCGACUUACCAAACCGAUGCAAACUCCGAAUACCCAGAAGUGCCGAGCAUGGGAGACACACGGCGGGUGCUAACGUCCGUCGUGAAAAGGGAAACAACCCAGACCGCCAGCUAAGGUCCCAAAGUUGUGGUUAAGUGGUAAACGAUGUGGGAAGGCUUAGACAGCUAGGAGGUUGGCUUAGAAGCAGCCAUCCUUUAAAGAAAGCGUAAUAGCUCACUAGUCGAGUCGGCCUGCGCGGAAGAUGUAACGGGGCUCAAACCACACACCGAAGCUGCGGGUGUCACGUAAGUGACGCGGUAGAGGAGCGUUCUGUAAGCCUGUGAAGGUGAGUUGAGAAGCUUGCUGGAGGUAUCAGAAGUGCGAAUGCUGACAUGAGUAACGACAAUGGGUGUGAAAAACACCCACGCCGAAAGACCAAGGGUUCCUGCGCAACGUUAAUCGACGCAGGGUUAGUCGGUUCCUAAGGCGAGGCUGAAAAGCGUAGUCGAUGGGAAACAGGUUAAUAUUCCUGUACUUCUGGUUACUGCGAUGGAGGGACGGAGAAGGCUAGGCCAGCUUGGCGUUGGUUGUCCAAGUUUAAGGUGGUAGGCUGAAAUCUUAGGUAAAUCCGGGGUUUCAAGGCCGAGAGCUGAUGACGAGUCGUCUUUUAGAUGACGAAGUGGUUGAUGCCAUGCUUCCAAGAAAAAGCUUCUAAGCUUCAGGUAACCAGGAACCGUACCCCAAACCGACACAGGUGGUCGGGUAGAGAAUACCAAGGCGCUUGAGAGAACUCGGGUGAAGGAACUAGGCAAAAUGGCACCGUAACUUCGGGAGAAGGUGCGCCGGCUAGGGUGAAGGAUUUACUCCGUAAGCUCUGGCUGGUCGAAGAUACCAGGCCGCUGCGACUGUUUAUUAAAAACACAGCACUCUGCAAACACGAAAGUGGACGUAUAGGGUGUGACGCCUGCCCGGUGCCGGAAGGUUAAUUGAUGGGGUUAGCGCAAGCGAAGCUUUGAUCGAAGCCCCGGUAAACGGCGGCCGUAACUAUAACGGUCCUAAGGUAGCGAAAUUCCUUGUCGGGUAAGUUCCGACCUGCACGAAUGGCGUAACGAUGGCGGCGCUGUCUCCACCCGAGACUCAGUGAAAUUGAAAUCGCUGUGAAGAUGCAGUGUAUCCGCGGCUAGACGGAAAGACCCCGUGAACCUUUACUGUAGCUUUGCACUGGACUUUGAGCCUGCUUGUGUAGGAUAGGUGGGAGGCUUUGAAGCGUGGACGCCAGUUCGCGUGGAGCCAUCCUUGAAAUACCACCCUGGCAUGCUUGAGGUUCUAACUCUGGUCCGUGAUCCGGAUCGAGGACAGUGUAUGGUGGGCAGUUUGACUGGGGCGGUCUCCUCCUAAAGAGUAACGGAGGAGUACGAAGGUGCGCUCAGACCGGUCGGAAAUCGGUCGCAGAGUAUAAAGGCAAAAGCGCGCUUGACUGCGAGACAGACACGUCGAGCAGGUACGAAAGUAGGUCUUAGUGAUCCGGUGGUUCUGUAUGGAAGGGCCAUCGCUCAACGGAUAAAAGGUACUCCGGGGAUAACAGGCUGAUACCGCCCAAGAGUUCAUAUCGACGGCGGUGUUUGGCACCUCGAUGUCGGCUCAUCACAUCCUGGGGCUGAAGCCGGUCCCAAGGGUAUGGCUGUUCGCCAUUUAAAGUGGUACGCGAGCUGGGUUUAGAACGUCGUGAGACAGUUCGGUCCCCUAUCUGCCGUGGACGUUUGAGAUUUGAGAGGGGCUGCUCCUAGUACGAGAGGACCGGGUGGACGAACCUCUGGUGUUCCGGUUGUCACGCCAGUGGCAUUGCCGGGUAGCUAUGUUCGGAAAAAGAUAACCGCUGAAAGCAUCUAAGCGGGAAACUUGCCUCAAGAUGAGAUCUCACUGGGAACUUGAUUCCCCUGAAGGGCCGUCGAAGACUACGACGUUGAUAGGCUGGGUGUGUAAGCGUUGUGAGGCGUUGAGCUAACCAGUACUAAUUGCCCGUGAGGCUUGACCAUAUAACACCCAAACA
rnacentral:rRNA from 1 species